CAGACUCACAAGCAGCAGAAGCAGCAGCAAGCAGCAGAGCAGGGAGCUCCUUCCUGAAUGCACAACAGGGACUCACAACAACACCUCUGUAGCUAAUUCUAAGCUGUCAGUCAGCCAUGUUGAGACUCUUUGUGCUGAUCUGUGCAGCUGUCAUGUGGUUCGUCAUGUGCUCGGAUGCUAUGAGAGCCGCUCCCAUCAUGACUCAAGAGCACACUGUCCUGACACGACUGCGCACUCCUUACACCCCACAGCCUCCUUUCUCUAUUGGUCUGCCGUCAACAGAAACAAGCGGAAGAACUCUGUCAAUCACUGAUCGUCAGUCAAACCCGGAUCCCACGCAGUAUCAAGUGAUAAAGGUGCGGAGAGGUCACAGUGCAGGUAGAGCAAGGCCAGCAAGCAGCAUUUUCACUGCUCAGCCCCAGCCCAGACAACAGAAAGACAAUGAGCACUCUUAUUAUUCACACUCAGGGAUUAGAAAGUCGUCUCAGAAAAUAAGCUCUUCACAAAUUUGGCAACAUCAGAAAUCCCCAAAUGAAGGAGUACCUAGAAGGGACUCUCCAAAUGAAAACAAAUCAUUUUAUUCUUCCCUGCCUGCUGGAAGCUGGAGGACUCCUCUCACACCAAGAGGCAGCUAUAAAGAGACGAAUCGGCUCCCUGCAGCCGUGUCGUGGAGCACUUCCAGUGGGAUCCAAUCAAGCGCAUUUCCCAGCUUCAAUCCUCCAACUUCAAUCAGCAACAGAGUGGAGGUCGCACACAGAAACCCAGGAAAAAGGACACCAUCCAUCAGAGAUUUCUCCCACAGACCACGGAAAAAGGUGCACUCAUACAUCUUCAAGGACUCCCAGACUUCAGUAAGUGGGCUGAGCAAUGUCGCCACAAUGACACAUAAGCAAAGGCAGGAUAGUGUCUAUCAGCUCUAUCCAGGUCAGGCACAAAGUUUCAACAGAUAUCAGCCCCCUUUAAAGCAUUCUUCUCCUGUACAAGGCAAGAACAUAGAAGAUUCUGCUCUCACAUCUGUUCUAGGAGGCAUCAAACCAGACCAAUCCACAAAGAGCAUCUUUGGGUUCAAGGAGUUUAAAAGUUCUCCAAGGAAAGCUGUGACAGAGCCCUCCGCUUCCAAACAGAGGUCCACCUCUCGACGAUACAGCUUCCUUAAAGGAAAGGAUUAUCUGUUUAAAAUUGCAAAUAAGUUUCCAUCUUUAUCACCAAAAUACAGCUUUGGACGGAGAGAAAGGCCGGCUGCUACCACACCUGGCACCUUAACCAAAACUGUUUCACCUUCCACAACAAGCUUUAAGGAGGAAAAUGACACCAGCACAGACGGAAACACAGACCAUGGAAUAAAUGACCUGACAAGAUUUAACACUGAACCACUAGGUGGCACCAAAGCAGAGAAAUCUGACACACUCCAGGAAGGAUUUGACCUCAUGAGCUUGCAGACGCAGGGACCACAAAAUGUCGAUGUAGUAGGUAAAAGAGAAGAACUUAAACCUCUUCUAAAGUCUAGAGGAAGCACUGAGUCCAUCAGCAGACUCAAACCUCACCAACAGACACACCAAACACACGCAGAGCAACAGUCACUCGCAGUAUCAUCAUCUCACAAAUCAGCAGAGGGCCUGAAAGCUGCACCAACAUCCGAGCUGCUCAACCAAACCAAACUGGUUUCCCUGAGGGCGAACCUGUUCAACACAUCCACAAGCACCAUGGUGAGAGGCAGGCGUGUCAAAGCAAAACACAGCACCAUCAAAACUGCCGCCGCUCCUACCAACAUCACUGGAUACACCAUCAGGAGACUGCCAAAGCUCCGUGCCAGGGUCAAAGCUGUCGCAUACGCUGAUAUACUGGGAAGUGCUUCGUUCAGUGGUGUCAGAGCUACAAGCCAGACGCCAAUCACAGAUAAGGAGAGUUCUCCAGCUACCACCAAACAACCUGAUCAUGGUGGGAAACACACAAGCAUGAGUUCUGAAGAUGAGACGGAGGAAUUCAUUAACGCUGAGGAAAACCAGUUCGAUAAAAGGGCUGAAAUGAAAACAUCUGAUUUAUUUCUAGAUAAUGAAGGAAGUGGAG
rnacentral:lncRNA from 1 species